GAACCCUUGGCGCAGUGGUAGCGCGUGUGAUUCCAGCGGCGCGGGCGGUCCGCCGUCUUCGAGGAACAUCCACAAGGUCGUCCGUUCAAUCCGGGCAGGGUUCA